UUGAAAUUCUCUCCCACCAAAAAAUUUAUCCGCAUCUUCUCACAGAGAACCCACAAAUCAGAAAUUUUUUGGUUCAACCAAGACUCGACCAAACCCUCUAUCAGCAAAACCAGCGUUUCCGCGAUGUUUCUGCCGUCUGAGGCCCCUUUUUUUCACCGCGAAACCUACCCUUCUUGAUCGCUACAUGUCCGUGGUCGUCAUAGUCACGGCGGGCAUCAGGCGGACAGACGGGUGCAACGAUUCUUCCGUGAUUGCAGCAUCCAAUUCCCUCGGGAGCGAGGAAUUCUUCCGUGAUUGCCGCGUCGAGUUCCUCUUUUAGGUUUGCUACGGCGGACACGGAGCUUCGGCCUCAUCGUCGACGACCCUCCUCCUCGCCCUCUGACGGAAAAAACGGAACCCCGGUCGACUUCCUGCUUUGCUGCCUUUCCUCAAUCGACAUGGCGGACAGGCGGGUUCUGGUGAUGAUGGAUAAUUGACAUCCAUUAUCUGAUUUGAUGGUCUUUGAGACGCCUUCUAGCUUUGCAAUUUUCAGUUUUGAUGGAGUCAAGCUCUAUCGGCAUCAGCCAGAUGCCAUCCGGGCGAUUUAGGCUCAUCUCCACCGAGACAAUCAAAAUCUGACUAAGAGGACGAUUGACGCUAGGGUGCGUGGAUUGAUGGCCCGCCCGCUUCGGCAACGACACGGCACAAGGCCUCCCAUUGAGCGCCAUCCUCAUCAUGUCGAGCUAUUGGGAGACGACCACACCGGCGGACAUCCUCUUCCCCAAGUUCAUGUACCACGUCCGCUCUCCAGCAUUUUCAACCAUUUUCAAGAACCACGAAGUCUGCAAUUAGUACACCAUCCAGGUGAAUUCGUCAGUGGUUUAUACUUACAAAUGAUUGACAUUUCCUGCAAUUGGCCUCCUAAUAUUGCUACCUUUGUGCAGUAUUUGUAUCAAACAAAGACGGUAUUUAUACCUGUUUGCUUAUCAGCCUUUAAAUUUUAGAUAAAUACUUGAUAAUUGAUUUUUGGCAAGCAAUGCAUGACUGAUUCCAAGGAUUAUCUCAACCCAUAAGAAAACUCCAAAUCAUAUUUUAAAAAUGGCCAGAUGGAAUAUGAUGAGCUUGGCUGUCUGAAGAUGCUCUUAUCUUCUGAAACCUUCAGUGAUUGGCUCUCAUCUGUUAACUUUGUGGCAUUGUUUGAUGGAUAUCAUUCACCGGUUUUGGUUUAUGGAUGUAAUACUACUAGGACGAUAGGCGCGCUUCGCCGCGCCUGCCCGUGCUGUACGCGUAGAUGUGUGCCAAUACUUUUGACGGGAGUGUUUACACUGUUGUUUCAUUUGUUGUUUGCUUCACCUAUUUGGUGUUUUACAGAGGAUCAUUUUAUAAUUCAAUAAAUUUUGAUUGAACGGUCA